UACGUAGGGUGCAAGCGUUGUCCGGAAUUAUUGGGCGUAAAGAGCGUGUAGGCGGCCCGAUUAGUCCGCUGUGAAAGUCCAGGGCUCAACCCUGGAAUGCCGGUGGAUACUGUCGGGCUAGAGUCCGGAAGGGGCGAGUGGAAUUCCUGGUGUAGCGGUGAAUGCGCAGAUAUCAGGAGGAACACCAAUGGCGAAGGCAGCUCGCUGGGACGUGACUGACGCUGAGACGCGAAAGCGUGGGGAGCAAACAGG
rnacentral:rRNA from 1 species